UACAGAGGUCCCAAGCGUUGUUCGGAUUCACUGGGCGUAAAGCGCACGUAGGCGGAUUGCUAAGUCAGGGGUGAAAUCCUGGAGCUCAGCUCCAGAACUGCCUUUGAUACUGGCGAUCUUGAGUCCGGGAGAGGUGAGUGGAACUGCGAGUGUAGAGGUGAAAUUCGUAGAUAUUCGCAAGAACACCAGUGGCGAAGGCGGCUCACUGGCCCGGUACUGACGCUGAGGUGCGAAAGCGUGGGGAGCAAACAGG
rnacentral:rRNA from 1 species